GUUCUUACAGUGUCCGGUUAAAGUUAACCGACACUUUACCGUACAUUGUAAGAACGG
rfam:Acyrthosiphon pisum strain LSR1 Contig32688, whole genome shotgun sequence.